UUCGGUUCACUAAGCCUCGAAUCAUGAGUACAUUGUUUCAUUAAAAAUGUUGAAAAUACAUGAAAUAAACGAAUGUUCAAACGUUUUCUAUGCGAUCGACAAGCCAUAUCUCAAGAUUUCAUCACUUGAGUUGUCCUUUCUAAUUAAAAUUUUUUGGAAUUUUUUAGAAACCAAAUCAAAGGUUUAUAUGUUCAAAUUGGUGGGGUUCAAUAAACAAAUAAGAUUGUUUAUUUGAAAUAAUUUUUUGAAUUGUUUUCUAAAGCUUCUACUAUUUUUUGUAUUUUUUCCUAAAUUUUUUUAAUUAAUUUUUAUAUUAAUUUGAGGAAAUUUCUCAAAAGUUCCAACACAGUAUUCUAGCCGCAUUAUUGAAUCCAUUCGUUUCUUAUCCAACAUAUAUCUUUAUUCUGUUUUGUUUUUAUUUUUAGCCGAGUGCAUGGAUUCAUGUUCUUGACCUUUUUACGAGGGAAGAAUCUUUAUUUUUUUGGAAUAUGGUAUUUUGAUGAUCUAUCGAUGUAAAAAUGAAAUGCGCUGUACAUUUAAAGGAUUUUUUGAUUCAUCACAGAAUUUCUAAUUUAAAUGAUAUUUAAUGUAUGAUUGAUUUGUAUUCAAUAAAGUUAGUUAAAACUCAUUUUCUUACUUAUUUAGUGAAAGAAUCUUUCCUUGUAAAAAAUUUCACUAAACACACUUCCGCUCAAAUAAGAAUUCGUAGCGGUCCGAAAAAAUUUCUUUUUAAAUCCGUCAGCGGAAUUAGGAUUCUUUUCUUGCCACAUGAAUGGAAUACGAGUAAAGGGUAACAAUAGCGUAAACAACUGGGAGAAAAGAUUGAAAGAAGGGAGAAUCAACGAAUUUGGUUUGGCCUGUGUAUGAAAUAGUAUUAUAUAACCGAAUUAAGGAACAGAGUAAAUAAAAAGAUGCUUGUUUUUAUGGAGAUGUGUUCUGCUUAAAAAAAUAAAAAAAAAAAACAGUGUUUUGUUUUGUUGGUCUUUGUAAAAUACGAAGAAAUGAAUUUUACUUUUUAAGAAACUUAAUAUUUUAUUUAUUUUGUUAUUUUCCCUA
rnacentral:lncRNA from 1 species